rnacentral:rRNA from 1 species
UACAGAGGUCUCAAGCGUUGUUCGGAUUCAUUGGGCGUAAAGGGCGCGUAGGCGGCGGGGUAAGUCGGGUGUGAAAUCUCGGGGCUUAACUCCGAAACUGCAUUCGAUACUGCCGUGCUUGAGGACUGGAGAGGAGACUGGAAUUUACGGUGUAGCGGUGAAAUGCGUAGAUAUCGUAAGGAACACCGGUGGCGAAGGCGGUUCUCUGGACAGUUCCUGACACUGAGACACGAAGGCCAGGGGAGCAAACGGG